GUUACACACCGUCUCUGCAGGGUCGAAAGGAGCCAGAUGACACUGCCUUGGGCAGUGACCUGACCCUCAGAACAGGCAGGCUGGAUUAAAUCCUCUUCAAGGUCAUUUUUGGCUCUGAGUCUCCACUCUUAUGAUUAUUGUACUUCCCCUGUUAUUCUGUUUUAUUUGGGGGGCUUGCACUUGCAAUAAAGCAUAUAUGAGCAGAA